AUCAAAUUCUGCAUCAAGCUAUGCAAUAAAGGCAUUCGCAUUGCUCAAUGAAAGUCCUGAAGCACAGUCUGUUGUUGCUUCCAUUGCUGCGGAUCCAAAUGUCUGGGAUGCUGUGAUGAAGAAUGAGGCUCUUCAGGAAUUCCUCCAGUCACAGAAGACCAAAUCUGAUGCAGAUGAUGAGUCACAGGAUUUGGGCUCUCCAAGGGAGUUUACUAAAUUAUCUGAUGAUGCAAGAGAAGCCGGAAAGUUUGAGAACGGAUAUAAGUAUAGAUUUGAGAACAUCAAGCACACUGUGGUUGAGAUGAUGAAUAACGUCUCUUCUUUUGUUCAUCACAUUUUUGGGUUUUCUGCUGCUGAGAACAUUUCUGGAGCUGCAGAUGGAAAUUCUCGAUCAUCUUUUUCUGAUAACACCUUGGGAGCUUCUUUCAUGGCAUUGGCACUGAUGGUUAUCGUCAUGUUGGUGCUGAGGAGAGGUUAGCUUCCAUUUAGGAAGCCAAACUGUAAAUUUGUCGAGUAUACAGACCAUACUUAAUUUCCUGUUUGGAUGCCUUGAAUGGAUAUAUUGCUAGUAAUCCUAAUAGCUUAUCUUAUUAAGCAAAGCAGUGGACAGACAUUCCUACAGUCAAAUUAGUUAUUUUGAUUAGUUUUGGUAUUUGUCUUUGAAUGAUCCAGUGAGUA
rnacentral:misc_RNA from 1 species